UUGAUCGGACCGUUGUUUUGUUGGCUGUAAUAAAGCUUUGUUGUACACUACUGCUAGUGUGUCCGAUUGUAGUCUUUGUACUGUGGUUGUUUCUUUUCCCCACUGGCGCUGCACACGUUAUUUUGACAGUAUGCAGUUCGUUAUUUUGUGUAUUGCUGAAGUGAAGUUAUGGAAGUUUUGGUGGCCAGUAAUAGUCUGAAGUUACAGAAUUUUUGGUGGCCAUUAUUAGUCUGUAGUUAACAGAAGUUUGUUGGAGCGUCCAAUAGUCUGUAGGUUCAGAAGUGUUGUUGGAGCGUGCAAUAGUCGUAGUUUACAGACUGGUGCAUUAAGCAGACUCUAGCUUGAGGGUUUUGUUUCGUAUAGUUCGCUUUGGUUUAUGUGCAAAUAAAGCGUUGAAUGCUACACACAGAUGUCUUUUGAUUGAUUACCAACCGAGUCUAAACUACUCAAGGAAUAUUGUACCUCCCUUUUCAAUAUCUUUCUAAAGUCGAACCACGACAAACUGCUGCGAGCAGAGUACAAGAGGCAUCGUGCAUCUAUUUGUGGAACUUCUACGCGUCAGUACAAGACUUUAGUGAUAUUAUCAGCCCUUGAGUUGGAGAUGAUAUCAUGGACAGAUAAGAACUUUACAUUUGAUUCAUUUUGUUGUAUUACUGAAUGAAUAGAGAAGAUAAUGUGAAUUGUUAUUAUGUUGAAGGUAAUAGCAUUUCUAUUUGGAUAAUAAUGUUAUAAUGUUAUUGGGUAAUCACUUUAUUAUGAAUAGGCCUGUUACUCUUGGUGAGCUCUGAAUCGUUGCCUUGAUGUGACUGUAAUGAGUGAAAUUGAUAAUUAUUAAUUGUUUAAUUCUCACGGUACGGUUUAUCGAUAUCUUAUUUAACUGUUUGUAAUCAGAAUUGCAUGUAUAGGUCCAUUUGUUAUAUUGCGAUAUGCCUAAAUCUGAGAAACUUGCUUUGGUUUUGGUGGCAUGAUUGCUGCGUUCACUGAUGUGUUAAAAGGUGUGAAUGUUAAGUCCCACCUCCUAUUAAAAUUUCUAAAUUUAAGGUCACCCUAAAGCCACUGGAGAUAUUACAUUGUGUGAGUGGCUUGAGGAUUUUGAGACUUGCUGUGCGCAUUAUCAGUUGGAUGGAGAUGUAAAGUAUGAUGCCAUGGUUAGUCAUUUGGGGGGAUCUGCUAAAGAUGAAGUGCAUUAUCAAAUGUCUGUAUUAGAUUUUGGAAAAAGAUGUGAAG